GCGCCUAUAGCUCAGUUGGUAGAGCAGCAGCCUUUUAAGCUGAUGGUCGUAGGUUCAAAUCCUACUGGGCGCACCA
rnacentral:tRNA from 1 species